AACGAACGCUGGCGGCAGGCUUAACACAUGCAAGUCGAACGCCCCGCAAGGGGAGUGGCAGACGGGUGAGUAACGCGUGGGAAUCUACCUAGUUCUACGGAACAACAGUUGGAAACGGCUGCUAAUACCGCAUACGCCCUACGGGGGAAAGAUUUAUCGGAAUUGGAUGAGCCCGCGUUGGAUUAGCUAGUUGGUGGGGUAAUGGCCUACCAAGGCGACGAUCCAUAGCUGGUCUGAGAGGAUGAUCAGCCACACUGGGACUGAGACACGGCCCAGACUCCUACGGGAGGCAGCAGUGGGGAAUAUUGGACAAUGGGCGCAAGCCUGAUCCAGCCAUGCCGCGUGAGUGAUGAAGGCCUUAGGGUUGUAAAGCUCUUUCAGUAGGGAAGAUAAUGACGGUACCUACAGAAGAAGCCCCGGCUAACUUCGUGCCAGCAGCCGCGGUAACAC
rnacentral:rRNA from 1 species